UACGUAGGGGGCGAGCGUUGUCCGGAUUUAUUGGGCGUAAAGCGCGGGCAGGCGGCCCGGUAAGUCGGCCGUGAAAGCGCCGGGCUCAACUCGGCGAGGGCGGGCGAGACUGCAGGGCUGGAGCAAGGCAGAGGGCGGUGGAAUUCCGGGUGUAGUGGUGGAAUGCGUAGAGCUCCGGAGGAACACCAGUGGCGAAGGCGGCCGCCUGGGCCUUUGCUGACGCUGAGCCGCGAAAGCGUGGGGAGCGAGCCGG
rnacentral:rRNA from 1 species